UACGUAGGGUGCGAGCGUUGUCCGGAAUUACUGGGCGUAAAGAGCUCGUAGGUGGUUUGUCGCGUUGUUCGUGAAAACUCACAACUCAAUUGUGGGCGUGCGGGCGAUACGGGCAGACUGGAGUACUGCAGGGGAGACUGGAAUUCCUGGUGUAGCGGUGGAAUGCGCAGAUAUCAGGAGGAACACCGGUGGCGAAGGCGGGUCUCUGGACAGUUCCGUGACGCUGAGGCACGAAGGUCAGGGGAGCAAACGGGG
rnacentral:rRNA from 1 species